GCUGAUAUAGCUCAGUCGGUAGAGCGCAUCCUUGGUAAGGAUGAGGUCCCCAGUUCGACUCUGGGUAUCAGCA
rnacentral:tRNA from 2 species